GGCUUCUUGGUCUAGAGGUAUGAUUCUCGCUUUGGGUCUCUGACAAGGAAGAAAACCAGCUUUCCCUGUCUUAGCUACUUUGCGAGAGGCCCCGGGUUCGAAUCCCGGAGGAGCCC